rnacentral:rRNA from 1 species
UGGCUCGAGGACGAACGCUGGCGGCGUGCUUAACACAUGCAAGUCGAGCGGAAAGGCCCUCGGGGUACUCGAGCGGCGAACGGGUGAGUAACACGUGAGUAACCUGCCUUUGGCUCUGGGAUAAGCCCGGGAAACUGGGUCUAAUACCGGAUACGACUCUUCGGCGCAUGUCGGGGGGUGGAAAGUUUUUCGGCUGGAGAUGGACUCGCGGUCUAUCAGCUUGUUGGUGGGGUGAUGGCCUACCAAGGCGACGACGGGUAGCCGGCCUGAGAGGGUGACCGGCCACACUGGGACUGAGACACGGCCCAGACUCCUACGGGAGGCAGCAGUGGGGAAUAUUGCGCAAUGGGCGGAAGCCUGACGCAGCGAACCGCCGCGGUGGGGAUGAAGGCCUUCGGGUUGUAAACCUCUUUCACCACCGACGAAGCUCUGUGUUUACUUCGGUAAUCUCAGUUUGACGGUAGGUGGGGAAGAAGCGCCGGCUAACUACGUGCCAGCCGCCGC